rnacentral:sRNA from 1 species
GAAAAUUAAAACUGGGCAAAUUCCAGUGUCUUGAGGUGAAAAUAAUCCUGUGUACAGUAUUUUGUUUAAUGCCUCAGAGAGACAACAGAUUUGUUGUAUCUGUGUAUUGCUAUAAAUGACCAAUACUUUUGUUUACAACUUUUAAAAGUUUCCAGCUAGGCAUUGACAAACAGUACCUUACUGUAUGAACUCUUCAUACAUAUUGAAUUGAAAGGUCAAGGUCUUCAAGGAGUGUGAGUGAUAAAGUCAUGGCCUCAUUCAUCAAAUACAAUGUCUAAUUCAUCACAAACGUUGGCAUGUGUAGUACUGCACUCACCGUGGCCACAAAAUGUCAUACACAAAUUAUAAGUUUGAGCAAUUAUCUUUGUAUGAAACGUGUAUACAUGUAUAAUCAUGUUCAGAUAUAUUUUUUUCAUUUUUCAAUAUGGAAGAAGGCCUUUUAUGUUCUUCUCUUGGAUGUAAUGGUGAACAUGUUUAUAUCUAAACAUGAAACUUAUUUUUUUAAGCAUUUUUUUAAUCCUUAUUUUCAUAUUUUAAAUAUAUGUAUGGUUACA